UAACCAGACUCCUACGGGAGGCAGCAGUGGGGAAUAUUGCACAAUGGGGGGAACCCUGAUGCAGCGACGCCGCGUGGGUGAAGGAGCACCUCGGUGCGUAAAGCCCUAUCGGCAGGGAAGAAACAGACGGUACCUGACUAAGAAGCCCCGGCUAACUAAGUGCCAGCAGCCGCGGGAAUAAGUAGGGGGCAAGCGUUAUCCGGAUUCACUGGGUGUAAAGGGAGCGUAGACGGCGACGCAAGUCUGGAGUGAAAGCCCGGGGCCCAACCCCGGGACUGCUCUGGAAACUGCGGCGCUGGAGUACGGGAGGGGCAGGCGGAAUUCCUGGUGUAGCGGUGAAAUGCGUAGAUAUUAGGAGGAACACCAGUGGCGAAGGCGGCCUGCUGGACGAUGACUGACGCUGAGGCUCGAAAGCGUGGGGAGCACACAGGAUUAGAUACCCGGGUAA
rnacentral:rRNA from 1 species